rnacentral:miRNA from 1 species
GACACACACAUAUAUGUACAUAUGUAUACACACAUAUGUGUGUAUACAUGUAUUUAUGCGAAGGGAUUAAAAA